CCAAACAGCCAUAUCCAAAUUUCUGUGGCCGAAUCUAUACGAAUUCCGCACCCGCACCGGUACCCGUACCCGUGUUGUGUCAACACGGGUACUCCACCAAAAAUGACGAGUCCGAGUAACACAGAAUAUGGGUGGUGGACUCAAGAACGGACUCAUUCCGGGUUCGGAUGAGUGAAUUACGGACGAACAAACAAAAAAUGUUAAGAAAGUAAAAUGAAC
rnacentral:lncRNA from 1 species